AAACUAUUGGCUCACAUCCCUCAAAAAUGGCAAAUCAGUGAUUUUCCUAGACUAUUAACAGACAGAGGCACUCAGAGUUUAGCUCAUGCUGCUCAGCUGAGCCUGCUCUCAGCUGAAGUUUGCCAAGGGCAGGCAAUGUUCUUAAAGGAUUCAUUUUACUGGUGAUAUGCAGUAUAAGGCAAGGACACAUGAAGGCUCAUCAUAAUUAUUCCUACCAAAUCUGUGAAACUUCCUGAGGAAGAAGUGUAAAGCAAGAGAUGACCCCAAUCCACCUACCUUCAUGCCCUCUUGAAAAUGCUACCCAAAUGCAGGACAAGCUGGAGAUCCAAAAAAGAUCAAUCCAGAGCUAAAUGAGCUCACAGGACACAAACAGGGAAUAAUCCACAGUUGGCUCAUGCUAUUGGCAUUUGUGCUUUGCUUUUCUACCACUGAAGAUCCCUCUACGUCCCUUGAUGCUGCUAGGAGAGAUGUUGGCACUUCUCUAGAAUGAAAAAAAAGUAUCAGCAUAUUUUCUAUGGAAGUCCUUCAUAAGAACACCUGGAUGAACUCAGUCUACAAGUCUUGGACCAAGUUCAUAAUGAAACAUCUGACUUGACAAAAGUUUCCAAUAAACUUAUGAGUAUG
rnacentral:lncRNA from 1 species